AAAUAUAGGAGGACACACAUGACAAAGUUAAAGUUUCAAUGCAAAGAGAGAAAAUACAACGUGCAAAAUCUAGAAGUACUCCUUUUAUUUUUGUGUCCAGUUGCCCAAGGUAGCCCUGGUUAAUAUGGCAAACGAUGGGAGAGUCAUGUAGUUAUCGAUAACCUUACUUUUACUAUCUGAUGAAAAUGACAUUUCCUUUAUUUUC
rnacentral:lncRNA from 1 species